rnacentral:ncRNA from 2 species
UUUUCUUCAAAAGCGCCAGGACCCUUGAUAAAGAUCAAGGGUUGACGAGGACUGGGGAGAAUCGAGGUUUUCGGCGGAUGCCCCAGCGGGGUUUGGCCUUUUUCCUCGUAACUUUCUGCUACAAACCCCGGAAGGCAACUUCUGGGACAAAGGCAGGAAGAAAAAAGGC